AAACGGUAGCUAAUACCGCAUAACGUCGCAAGACCAAAGAGGGGGACCUUCGGGCCUCUUGCCAUCGGAUGUGCCCAGAUGGGAUUAGCUAGUAGGUGGGGUAAAGGCUCACCUAGGCGACGAUCCCUAGCUGGUCUGAGAGGAUGACCAGCCACACUGGAACUGAGACACGGUCCAGACUCCUACGGGAGGCAGCAGUGGGGAAUAUUGCACAAUGGGCGCAAGCCUGAUGCAGCCAUGCCGCGUGUAUGAAGAAGGCCUUCGGGUUGUAAAGUACUUUCAGCGGGGAGGAAGGGAGUAAAGUUAAUACCUUUGCUCAUUGACGUUACCCGCAGAAGAAGCACCGGCUAACUCCGUGCCAGCAGCCGCGGUAAUACGGAGGGUGCAAGCGUUAAUCGGAAUUACUGGGCGUAAAGCGCACGCAGGCGGUUUGUUAAGUCAGAUGUGAAAUCCCCGGGCUCAACCUGGGA
rnacentral:rRNA from 1 species